rnacentral:rRNA from 1 species
CCUACGGGUGCCAGCAGUGGGGAAUAUUGCACAAUGGGGGAAACCCUGAUGCAGCGACGCCGCGUGAGUGAAGAAGUAUUUCGGUAUGUAAAGCUCUAUCAGCAGGGAAGAAAAUGACGGUACCUGAUUAAGAAGCCCCGGCUAACUACGUGCCAGCAGCCGCGGUAAUACGUAGGGGGCAAGCGUUAUCCGGAUUUACUGGGUGUAAAGGGAGCGUAGACGGCAGCACAAGUCUGGAGUGAAAUGCCGGGGCUUAACCAAGGAACUGCUUUGGAAAAUGUGCAGCUAGAGUGCAGGAGAGGUAAGUGGAAUUAAUAGUGUAGAGGUGAAAUGAGUAGAUAUUAGGAGGAAAAAAAGUGGAGAAGGCGGAUUAAUGGAAUGUAAAUGAAGUUGAGGCUAGAAAGAGUGGGGAGAAAACAGGAUUAGAUACCCAUGUAGUC